rnacentral:lncRNA from 1 species
GAGAUCUUACAUUCAGAUUUACAUGGGACAAGAUAUUCAACAGAGCUUAAUGACUUAUUUUUGAAAUUUUAGUUAUGCCAUUUUAGAGUCAGUCAUGCACCAAUGAAGAAUAAGAAGGGGUGAUCUAGUGAGCCAAAUUCUUGGGAGUGGAUUGAUAUUAUUACAAGGAUAGGCUGCUCCUUGGUGUGUGGACAGAAUGAAAGCCACUCAGUCGUGUCUGACUCUUUGUGACCACAUGGACUGAAUCCUGCCAAGCUCCUCUGUCCAUGGACUUCUCCAGGCCAGAAUACUCCAGUGGGCAGCUGUUUUCUUCUCCAGGGGUCUUCCCAACCCAGUAAUUGAACCAGGUCUCUCACAUUGCAGGUGGAUUCUUCACAAACUGAGCCACCAGGAAUGCCCAUGGUGUGUGCACAGAAGGCUGCUGUUAAUAGAAGUCAUCCAGAUGCACCUGAAUGAUGGACUUGAUGUUACUUGGAGCCUUGCCAUAGGGAAGGCGUGACAUGUGAGCAUGUGCCUUCUUCUUUGGGGACAGAGGAAUUCAAAAGGAAAGGGAAGAGACACCAGAGAAUGCUCUUUCCACACACAUGUGCAGAGAAGAGGCACAGAGAUGGCAGCCUUCCACACGACAGGAAGAGAGGUCUUCCCAGAACCUACUCCCAAGUGCACCUUAACCUUGAAGAUCACUUUGUAUGUGAUCUUCAAAUUGCCCCAGAUUUGGCCAUAGGGAGCCCCAUCAAUUUGACUUCUGUGAAUUUUUUAAAUUGUCCUUGUCAUUUUUGAGCACUUUCUUACUUUUUCAUAUCAUAAGCUAUUCAAGUCACAUCUUGCACUUUCCUUCUCUUGUCCCUUGAAUCAAUGAUUUCUCUAAAGCUUAGGGAAUGACAUCUAGAAAUCAAGAGCCUCUCAUUGCUAUUAGUGUUUCAAUUGCUUCUUACCCUCUCAGCAGACACAGUUUUAUCUAUUCUGGCUGUAUAUAUGUAUUUAUAAACCAUGAGUUUAUAUCGAUAUAUCCAGCCUGACACCACAGGAUUCAUGCUAGCCUUUUCCCUUUCCUUAUUUAUAGCUCCUUUCUCUAGCAGUAAGCCUGGUUCUCAUUAUCUAUGAUAUAUUAACUUAUUUGCUCAAUCCCAGAAUACACAUAAGUAGUUUCAAAAUUGCCAACCAAACCCCUGUGAAAAAUGAG